GCCCGUUUGGCUCAGCGGUAGAGCGCCUCACUAGUAAACAGGAACAUAUUUGUUCCCUCCUCGCUAUGAGGAAGCGACUGGUUCGACUCCAGUAAUGGGCA
rfam:Eutypa lata TCREL1 unplaced genomic scaffold EL1_03_scaffold_1320, whole genome shotgun sequence.